UGGAGAAAUGUCAAGCCUUUGAAAUUGAGCUUGAGCUCUUGAUAACAAAGAGAUCUUCUGCUCGACCGAAACAACAGGCGGCUUCAGUCACCUGUGCCUCACUCUGCUCUGGCGCAGCGACCAUGUGGCCAAACGAGGAGGCCACUUACCGAACGAGCCAACUGGAGGUGUGCGCUGCGGUGCCAAGGAAGCGUGGAAGGCGUUUCAGAGUGGAGCGGAGGAGUCCGGUGGGCGGAGGAGUCAGGAGGUGACCCGUUGCAUCCAUCAGCCCACACGCAGGCCCCUCCCUGGAGGAAGGCUCUCCACUGAGCUGCAGGAGCCGCAGCCAAAGAGCGUAACGCCACCAAAUAGGAUGAAGUUAUUGGGUAAUGUUGUGUGGGCUUCUCAUUGCAUAUGUCAGUAAAGAGCUAAGUGCAAAGUGCAAGGAAUAACAGUAUAUGAUCCGUCUGGGGCAAAGCUUUACCGGUUUGUUGUUUCAUUUUAUGAGGAAAGUGAUGUGGAAUGAUUUUUGAUAAGCUCCUUCUCGGUUUGAAGUAUUAGUAGGCAACAGACUUUCCUGCCCCUAGUGGUUCCAGGUGGUAUUAUUGUCUGGUCACUGUCGUAAAGACGCUGCAGUAGCAAGACGCCAGUAAGGAUGCCCGUAUUUUUUCUCAGAGCUCCUGAGAAAUUUUGUCGUCACCACUUUGGAGAUAAUGAGGAGAACAAAGAACUAUUUACACCAAAGCUCCUACUUCGUUUUCUGCCUCCUAGCGUUAAUUAGCGGCAGCAUUAGCAUCAUGGCUAACUCAAUGCCAGCAGCCUGGCUACUGUCCAAAGCAGAAACGCCCCUGUAAAAAUCCCAAUUUGAACAAAUAACCUUGAGUUAAACGUCUGGUAGUAUUAAUAAGUAGGCCUGUUGUGUUACCUGCUGAUCUGAAAAGGAGGCAAACUGCAUGUCAUAUUUGAAGCCUCUCAAGUCCUGGAGUUCUCUCCCCGGAGUGAAUGCCUAUUGUUAUUUUUCUCUUGUGAAGUUGAGUUGUUUUUGUCAUCUUGACUGUUCCACAUAUGCCCAUUCCAUCACUGGGGAUAGAUACCGGGAGAACGCUAUCCUCUUCCUUGUUUUGCUUCCUCAAUUGGUGACGCAGUUCCAUUGUGCCAAAUCAAGUCAGCUUUUCUUUUUUUUUUCUGAAGAUAAAAGUAAAUCUUUAAAUGAUAUAAUAUCAAGUUAGAUUCAAAUCACAUCUGGUGAACAUGUACAGGGGCUAUUUGUGGUGCGUAGGAGCUGGUUAGCUCAUGCGCUUUAGGCAUUAGGUCUUUAUUUAAUCUUUCUCAUGCUGUACUUCUAUGAGUUGACUCCAAGUGAAAUACAUAUUUCUGUCAAGGUUUAAUUUAGCAAUUUUCUCUUCGGACUAUUCACAAAGCACUCAGGAAAUCUCGGAUGUUUUCAUAAAAUCCCAUUACUGCAUUAGCCGAUACUGCCAACUUUCCAAGUACUGACUGAACUCCAGCAUCAAUAGGAAGAAAAACGUAUUGAUCUGCAUGUGUCUCUGAAGUCACCCUGCCACUGAAGAUGAGCUUUCAUUUUGGGGGUAAAAAAAUGGGGCUUAUGCUUCUGACGAGCUCUUGCACUUGUCUGGCCGCUGUGAAUGUUAAUGCAACAUAUUUCCCUAUGUGGCUCAUACUUAAUACUGGAGGCACAAUGUAUGUCUGUAUGAAAUUGCUUUGCCUCGAUCGGCUCACCGGGCCGGGGAAAGACUUCAGUGUUGAUGAUAAUUGUCGAGCGUGGUACCGCUCGUUCACGGAGCAUGGUUUCUGCCUGUUAAGUGACAGAAUAAUUACACACGAGCCUAAAUAGCACUCAGAAUAAAUGUGGGGAGUGAUAGCAGUGGAUGUGGAAGGAAUACUGAUGGUUCAACAGAGGUAAUGCAAUGAUUCUAAAGCCUACUCCCUUUGUUUGAGCCCCUGCUUUAUUUGCCUACGGCUGCCUCCUCCUCUUUGCGGCGAAGCGAGCUCAUUGGAGGAAAGUCGCAGGUUGACGUUCACUGUAGGUCCGCGGCAUAAAGGAUUCUAUCUGUUGCUAAGGUACUUCGAAUGGUUGGUUGACCAUCUUCACGUGGAGAAACGCGAGGAGACGGUUUAGAAUGACGACGGCUCGAGUGUGAAAUCUCAGGAUUACUCAGUUUCCCCUCAGUGAGUCAGACAGUCUGCACGAUCACUGGCUGUCUGGGGUGUUGGUGGCUUCAGGCAACGUUUGUUAUUGAGAUUUGACCCGCACUGUGGUGGACUUCUUUACAUUGAACAGCUUUCAAAUCCUCUGCCAAGAGAAAUCUGGCACAGACUCUCGGUGUCUGCAAAUAGACCCUUUUUAUAAAUGGAGUUGGAAAUAAGGUCAGGUUCACCCUCAGUUCAGAGCUCAAAUGGAGGGAAAGCUAUUUCAGCGGUGCAGCCUGAGCGGAGGAUUCAGAGGAGCGUUCUUUAAACCCAGCUAUCUCUGCGUGUGUUCAUCUAGUUACUAUGUUUUCAAUUGAGUUUUGCCUCUGAAUUUGUAGUUAAUGGGAAUAUUUCUAAUUUUUCUCAAUUUUUCUUUUAUUUCUAAAUUCAUAUGAUAUAAAAUAAUAAACUAGUGUGUGAUCUGUAAUUUAUUGAAGGUCCCACUGCAGAUUCAUUCCUCUAUUAUCAGUAUUAUUUUAUUUUAUUUUGGCUGUGUGUCCUGCUAAUAUAUGCAGCAGAAACAACAUGAAUAAAUAAGGCCCAAAAUCAGAAUUAACCAGGAUGCAGUAACAAAUUCUUUGAUAAAAUGUUGAAUAUAUGUGUCCACAGUGUUGGUACUUAGGGGCUGACAGUCAGAGCUUGUGGAAGCAGAUGCUUCCUUUUUUGAUAUCAAAUGACGUUAAAAGUUUGUCCUGUUUUGAAGGAAACUCAGUGUGAGGAAGCACCCGGAGUCAAACACCAGCCAACAUGUUGUUACGUAGGCUGAGGGUGUACGAGUAUAAAUAUGAAGCGCGGACUGAAUGUAUUUGAACCUGAUCUGUCUCUGAGCUGUAUGAAGAGCUAAGUUGGGAUUAAAGAUCCCACUGAAACUGCAUUCUUGAGUCUCUCUUCUGAGGAGCUCCAACCACAAUAAGCUUCAGCACCUUCCUGACUUAACAACCCUGCAGCAUUUCCACUGCUGUCAUUUGGAGCUGAUCCAGGUGAGCUCACCUACUGUAUCCACACAAAGACACACGCCAGAGUCUUUUCCUAGAUAACAAACUGGUGCAGCGAUACAUGUUCACUACAUGCUGCUGCACUCCACCGUAGGCGACAAUGUCACCACCUCUCGGCGCCUCCUACCUGUCAGCCGAUUGGCAUGACAGGCCGUUAUGCUCCAUCCAUGUUUUUUUCCUCUCCUUCAGUUGAACUAAAAUGAGCUCUGUCAAACGCCGUCAGCACUCGUCUCACACAACCUCUCCGCUACACGACCCACCUCUCGAUACUCGAGUUUAAAUUUAGUUUCACCUCAGACCACACGCCGUCAUUCCGUCGGACUGUGGCAGGGAGAUGAGAGCCGUUGGCCGCGUCUGUGAUUCCGGGGGAGCUCAUCAUCCCGGCUAUGUGGAGCAGCGUGAGUCUGGGCUGCCUGGGACUGUUGGUAUUGAGCAGGGAGGAGUGCCCCGGGCACAAUCCAUCAAAAAAAGGAGCUGUUUGCACUGUGGGAAUAGACAUGAAUAAUCCAUGCUUUCUUUACCCUUUCCUGUGCAACUGUAUGCGUAGCCCAUCACAUUCUCUGUUGCCUUUUCUUCCAAUAUCAAACCUCUGCAUUUGUAUUUACUUCAUUUUAGAAUAACAUUGUUUCUUUUUUUUUUUUUCUUUAAAUAAAAGCUUUUGAGAUAUAAUGUAUGAUCGGCAUCAGUAUGACAUUAAAAUAAUUGGCAUCAGAAAUACUAUCACUGAAAUACCCCCCCCCCAUUUUAUUUUUAUUAAAACAACUUACAUUUUCUCAUUUAUUCUAACCAUAAUAACUUGUGCUACUGUAAGUCAGGGCAAACAAUCAACAGAGUAAACCACAAUCAUUUUUGUGUUAUUUUAUUCAAGUUCCUUUCACUGUUUUAUGUGGGCAGAACUUGUUUUGCUCCAUCUUGUUAGACAAUUCACAGACUAUCACUGUGACGCACACGCAAAGCAGACAUCAUGCUCAGCGUCAACAAAAAAAAAACAUCCUGUCGCCACUUUACUUUGCCCUCCACAGGUUUGGACCAUUCUUCUCUGCCUCCAGCAGUAGUUGUGAGUAACUCAGCGAUGCCUUUAAUUAUCAUUUUAUCUCCAAAUCAAGGUCUGUGUGCUAAUAAUGUGCCUGACUCUUCUUCAUCUGGUCUUGGGACUGAACUUCAGGGUCAGUUAAAGCAGGGACUUCAAGGACUAGUGGAAUAGUUUCAGGCUAAAUCCGCUUGAAGCUGAUAAGAAAAAGGUGUGUAAGGAAGAAAAAAACAGAUUUUAUGGAUGUAUCAGGCUUUGGGGCCUUUCUAGUUUGCAGGUUUUUUAUGAUGGUCAUAAACAUUGAUUUGUGCUUUGUUAAUAAUGGAGGACCCUCUUGAGAGCUCUGAGCAAUAAUCACUGUUUGUGAAGUCAUGUGAUUCUUGACUUUUUUUUGUUAUUAUCAUUUUCCCAAGACAGAUGCUCUAGCCACAAUAAACACUAACACUAUUUCUUGCCAGGUGAAUUAUGCAGUGAAUGGUGCAGCUGAGGAUAUUUCAUUCUACAGUAAUGGAUAAUAUAGUAGUUUAAUGGACUACUGCCCCACAGUGGCAGUAAUGUUGCUGUGGCCAAGUGCCACAUUGUUCCUGUGAGCUUCCUUUUACCACCCUGAGGUCUCUUGUGAUCAGGAACGUCCACGUCGCUCCUCAGCAGCAACACCUCCUCCUUCGCUUGGUUUGAGCCGAGCUCACUUUCCCCAUUCAACCUGAAGUGGUUCCUUUUUUUUUUUUCAACGAUCCCCACGUUUCCCUCAGUUUGGUUGAUAAAUAGAUUAAAUCCUGGUGGUGAUAAAUAUCCAGCAAGACUCGAGGAGGGGUUUUCACGGGCUCUGAAUUCAAGCAAUUAUAAAGUCUGCAAAUCAUUUUGCUUUAAUUAGAUCUUGGAAAAUCUGAUAAGAUACCCAAUCUCAGUUUUCCGUUUUCACAGCUCCCUGCCAGCAAGAUGAAAAAGAUUGUAAUUCAAUCAGCCAGAGAAUUUGAUAUGAACUGGGUCUUUCCAUUGAUCGUCCGCCCGCCAGGUGGUAUUGCAUAGCACGGAGUUUAAAUGUCUGCGUGUGAUAGAGCAUAACUUAAAUUGACCAGAGAGAGAGAUGUGCCAUGUUUGCAGAUUAGACAGUUUGAGGGAUUUGUGGUGUGCAUGCUGUCUGCCUCCCUCUUUCCUCUCCUGCUCAAUAAAUCAGUCUUGCUUUUGGGUGCGUCUGUGGAAAAGCCCAAUGAGAAGCGCUCUACAGAUGGACGCCUGCCCACCUCCUCCCGACCAGCACUCAGGCAGGUCAGUGAGAAUAAAUAUUCCGCUCCUUUUAUUCUGCCUCCAUAAGCAGUAAAAUCAAUAUGCUCUGGCUGUAUUGUGCAGCUGGUAGACGAGGCGGGACGCUCUUGCAGAGAGGGCAAGUGCACACCAGCAUGGGCACAUCAUGUAAUGCACUAAUGCACCUCAGGGCUCUGACAUCAAUUAAGAGAGACAAUAGACAACUGGCCUAUGCAUCGCAGGCCAAAAACAUUAAUGUGUGACGUAAGUGUGGGUGUUUACCGGGUGAAAGGAAGUGUCAUCACAGAUUGGACCUCUGUUGAAAUGACAUUUUGUCUUAAAUACUGUAGUUUUUUUUCCUAAAUCAUCUAUUUAAAGGAACAGUUAGACAUUUCUGGGAAAUGUGCUUUCUUGCGGACAGUGAGACGAAAAGACCUUUAGACAGAGAGCGUCUCAGGGAUGUUGGAUGAAGGGAUGCUGGUAGGGCUGGCAGGGACUGUGAUUGUAGUUUCAUUUCAUUUUAGAUCAUUCAUUGUAUUUUCUGUAAAUCUAAUGAACAAAUGUUUAUACUACUUCCCUCGGAUGGUCCUUUGGCCACGAAGAAGCAAAUCCCUGCUGGCGUGAGCCUCUCCAGGCGAAGGAGUUUACAAUCCCAGACAGGCACUUUGGAAAUGGAAAAUGAAUCUGGUUUUACAACUGAAUAUGAUCCAUUGAGGGUGAGACUUCACAAUUCAGGUACUUAUAGCACAAUGUAUAUUGCCACAGCUAGUCUACAUACACUGGAAAAAUGGAAUAUGCCUAUUGACACGCACCAAAACUCUCAGCACCCCCCAACUCUAACUGAAAGUUGGGUGACAAAUGUUAUGACAGUUGUUUCACCACAGGCCAGAGUAAAAACUGGAAUUUCCUGUGGUGUAUUUCUGUGUCUUUUUAAUAUCUUGUGCAACAUCAGUAAUCCACUCUGAGAUCAAAUUGUCUUGAGGGGCCAUACACGGGCUGGUGGCUGGAGGUUCUCCAACGAUAUAUUAAACCAAAUUAACUUGCCCCCUCAAACGUACAAUACUUAAGAGUGGUAUCAAUCUUCUCAUCCAGCUCUUAGCAAGAAAGUAUAUGAAAAUAUUUCCUUCUCACAGAGUCCUCUCAAAAGGAACAUAUUUCUUUUAUUUGAUUUUUUUGUAGACUAUUCUGAACUAUUUUUAUGUUUCAUGUUUAACAUCACUCUCUGAUAUCUGAUAUCAAUAUAACAGAUAACUAUCAUUUAUGAUCUGUGGCCUGUCUGGACACAGUUGGAGCUGCUUCCUCUCUGUCUCUCCCACACGGACUGGUUUUAUAAUAACAGUGAAGCUGUUGCCAAGGUGCAAAUUCUGAGUCAAUGUUUUAUUUAUUUGUUUGUGCAAAUGGAUCGCCUUGCUGAGUGUCAGAACCUUAAUCUGUUGAAAGGAUGGCGGUCGACACACACAUCGUGUUUUCAUUAAUGCCUUUUGUGAGUGGGAGUAGCCAUUUCAAAUUCCUAUUAUUCUAGAAAUGGGGGAGCAAUUCUCUAUUUCCAUGGACGCCAUGUUUCCUCCCCACAGUUAAAUGUAAAUGGUGUAUUUUGGAUAGCAACAACUUAUCGUGUUUAUUUGUUGUAUUUUCAUGUAUUGAAAUGAUUUUGAUUGUACAUUUCGUAAUUGUGAGUUAUAAGGUUUUUAAUGAUAUUGAUGUCGUGUAAGAAUAUUUUUGUUUAUGUGUCGUUUGGGUUUAAAGGAUGUCAUGAUGCUUUCCACCCCACAAGCAGUGAGACUGACUGUGGCCAUUAUAUAUUUCCCACGAUUCUGCUUCCACCUGCCACUCAUCACUGCACAGGGCUGCCUUCAGGUAUCCUUGCCAUGUUCUCUUUGGUCCGUUUUAAUUGGGUUUCCCCCUGAAGUAUUUCCAGAAAGACGGGGGGAUGAUGUAUCCAAAAGCCCCCAGAUCAAAUGAAAAAGCUCUGCAUUUCUCUUGUUGGCUGUCACUGGGCGAGGAUGGGCACGGUAUGGCUGACGUCCCAGAGUCACGGCGGGGAGCUGGAGUCUGGAGAACCGGCAUGCCUUCCUCUCCUCUCUCAGAGAGCUCUGUUUGUCGCUCGCCAUCUCCGUCUGUCACACCGCGGAGAGCCGGGGCCACACAUUUCUCCUCUCAUGCAUCUUUCCACCCUGGCCAUCGCGGCACAGCCCUCCCUCACAUACUCAACACCUCAAAGGGGAAACAUGUCAUCCCUCUCUCCUCACAUAGUGCUAAAAAGGCCCCGCUCCCCCCGGGGACCUCUACUCUUCCUCUGCCGAUCGAUCUGCUGAGCCCUCGCCUCAAUCAUCCACCUAUCUAUCCGUCUUCCUGUCUUUAAGCGCUGCCAUUUGUCUCCAGCCUUUACUAUACACGUCUGUACACUCACUGAGGAUAUCUCAAUAGCUUUUGUUAGUGAUCAAUAAUUCUCUUUUUAGAAUAGAAAUAAUGAAUAUUAGAGUUUUUAUUAGAGCUGGACAUCCUGCACUCCUGUAUGAACUCAUCACAGUGAGUUGAAUAGCUAACACUGAUGUUAAGGUGUCACUUUGUAAUGUACUCCCUGUUUGGAUUUUGCUCAGUCUUGCAGUUCUCUUCCUGCUCUCCCGUAGAUUGCUUUUCCUACGCGUUCCACCCCCAUAUUGAUUGUUCCAGUGCACUAAUUAUUCUGCUUGGCCAUGGAUGUCUCUGUGAACUGCCUUUGAUCGACAUGUCGGAAUGCCUGGAAUCACUGAAAAUAGGAGAGGAAACAGUUUUGGUUACAGAAUUAAGAGCACGUUGGGUUCUGACUUCUGAUAUUUGUAAAACAAGUGUGACGCCUUCUCAAAUGACUAGCCAGACUGUCUGCAGUCACUUCCUGUGCCAUAGUAUGAGCUCUUGACUUGGCUGAUCAGCACAUUGUGUGCGUGUGUGUGUGUGUGUGUGCGUGCGUUCGUGCGUUCCUGCGUGUGCGUGUGUGCGCAUGUGGGUAUUUGUGAGCGCUGCAUUCAUAUAUGCAUCAGUGCCUAUGUUAUUAUCCUGAAUGUGUUUGUGUGUAUGUGUGCAUGUGAAUGUGGGCAUAAUCUCAGGUCAGUACAUCCUGCUCUGCCACCAUCUGUGCUCAGGCAGGCAACAGGCCACUUCAUACACACUCAGCAGCUCCAUACAGACACUUAGGUCUAUUUUUGUUUUUUUGUUUUGCUUGUUUAGAAUAUGAAAAUGUCUGGUUCUAUAUAACAAAUAUUUCCUACAGUGGGACGGCUAGUCUCAAUGAUUGCUGAUUUAAUUUAAAGAUGAUCUAGUGAAAACCAGGGAAUUAUAAUAGUACGUUUGAGGCUGAGAUGUAUUUAUGAAUUCCAUUAUGGUAUUUGAAAUUAACUAUAUGAUUUAGUUUUCCAGUUUACCUCCUUGUUGUUGUUGGUUGUGCUUAGCUUCUGUUUUAGUUGUGUGCAUUCUGUAUUUGCAUCAUGUUGGUGCAGAAAUAGAAAAAGCAGUGCAACACCAAAUUAUUUUCAACAUUAUAACUGGAGCUAAAUGCUAAAUGUUUAGAUAGAUAGAUAGAUAAACAGAUUAAACUUACAUUAUUUCAAUGGUAGUUGUUUAGUAUUAACUUUCAAACUAUGAAUGAAUAACAAUAAUAUAUCAAGAAUCAUAUGAAUAAAGUCAUUAGAUGGCAGCCAAUGUUGAUGCCCCAGCGGGUCUGUUAACGCACGGGAAUCCUUGAUAUUAGAUUGAAUUAUGCAUGUGUUGGUAUUACAUUACAAUUUCAGAUACAUGCUAACACUGAAUUUAUUCCCAUGAUUAGAAUUUCAGAUCCAUCCGUAACUGCCAGGCAUAAUGGCGGUAGAUUGGGAAUCAAUACAGAGCCCUGGAACGAGUGUCACUGGUGACCUUUGUGUGCGCUCAGAGGAGCCUCAGCCAGUGACAUUUUAGGCUCAAAGGUCCCCGUGGAUUAGCACUCAUUGGACGGUGUGUAAAUGACACUCGUGGCAAUCUCUGUGUGUCUCUAAACGCUGGUCAUUCUGGCAGAACAUAUAGGAGCCGUCUGCGGUUCAGCAGAAGCUGCACCUAUAUGCAGGGUUGCAUGAAGCCAGGAAACACUGCAAAAGGGGGUUACAGACGGGUUACUGAAAGAUGCAGACAUCGCAGGGAUUAAUAAUUCAGUCGUUCAGCAAAGUAUGCAGACCAGUGUUGCAAGGCCUAAUGAGCGGAAACAUCUGUCUGCCUGGGGCAUGUUGUGACCCCUCUCCAGCCUAGUCCAUUGGACUCCCUUUGCCCAACACACCACCUCCCUGACUCCUUUACACUCACACAUACCACACCGCCCUCUGUUUGGCACUGCCUCCUCUCCUCACCUGCAGGCACCCUCUUCCUUUGCACACCCUGGCUUCAGGACCAUCUGCCAGCUCCCCUCGGGGCACCAGCCAGGUGCUGGGCACGCCGUCACCCCAGCUAUGCCACAACAGCACUGCCUGCUGGGAUCAGCCUCGCUGUGCCAACUGUUGAUCGUCAUGUCCUCUCAGUCCCGCCCAGACACCCUCUUACUAAUCCAGGGACAAGCUGUGCUUAAUAAAGACUGGAUUCAGAGUGUGUCUCAAAUUUUUGAUGAAUGUAGAUGAUUUCCUGAGUCCACGUUUAGUCUUUGUUGUACGAUGCCCUGCUCCUCCCCCUGUGUCUGCUGCAGGUCUCCCGUGGUUGUUCCCCUCGAGACGCAGCCUGUGUGCAACCACAACGUCGGUUUCUGGAACAACAUUGUGCUGCCAUGUUUACCGGAGCUGCCGCUCUGACGUUGGCACAGCCAGUAAUCACUGGUAAUGAUGAGGACAAAGUCAAACAUGUACAAGGAGAAAAUGUGAAUGUGAAUGUCUAUAUCUAUAUUUAUUUUGAACGUACCCCGAAUCCUUCCAGCAGAGCUGAGUGUUGCUCUGUUAGUUAUUCACAUGGUUCCUCCACAGGAGCCGCACAGGAAGCUGAUAUCAGAAACGGGGCAGAAGGCGAUGAAGGUGGAAAAGUUUCCCCUCAGGGUGAGUGAGGAGCUUAAUUGCUUAUGCUCAACUUGUAAUACUUUUUCACAGAUAUAUUGCAUUUUCAGUAUAGGUGCAGGAAGUGAUGUUUUACAAGGUUUUAAAUGUAUUACCACAAGAACAGACAUUCUUUGUGUUUCCUUUAUUGUUACUGUACAUUCAGAGGUGUGGGUUGUUGAUUUUCUCCAUGGACACUUCAGCACUGUCGGCAGAGAUUACAUUUAUCAUAUAUUUUCUAUCAGAAUUGAUAGUGAGUCACAAUGCUGAAACAGAUUUAUGCACGUUGCAGUUUUUGUGGCUUCUCACAAUUUGAGUCAUUUUAACAAACUAUAGAUCUAAACUAACAUCUUCAGCAAAGACUUGUAUCAUUAUAGAAACAUGGUCACUGAGUUACACUGGAUUUAAUUCCCUCAAUUUUCCUACCUUACCUCAGGAUCCACAGUCACUCCCUAAACUUGUAUUCAAUUAAAAAGCUAUGAAACACAUUUUAUUUUGAAAAUACUCAACUAUAUCAGAAAAUAUGAAUGCCUACUUUAUCAUAGGGCAGUUUUCAUAGCAUCCCCCC